AAAAAAUAUAUAUAUUAUAAGAACCUUUUAAAUAAUUUGGUUUUUUUUUCCUUUUUUUUUGUAUAUACUGGUUUCCGGCAACCUAUGAGUACAAAUCUACCGCGACACUAUUCAUAAGUAGGCCUGAGCUCAAUCCUAACCUUACGCGCACGCCUGGUUCAAUUUCAACCAGCGGACUGGCUUCGAGCAACUAACCGUAAGAAAUUAUCUAAAAGGACAGGUUCUGUCCGUCCUGUCGUUCGGGUAAGAGGUACACGUCUAUGUCGAAAACCUUAAUACCUGGGCACCAUAGGACUGUUGGUGCGGAUCUGCUAGAGUAGUCCCACGCUGGAUGGAGCUGGCGAUGGCGUGACUCAGGGUUGCUGCUUUAGUAUUAUGUUUCUCGCUUUAUUUAGCUUUAAGAUUGAUUUAAUUUAGUUUAAAACUUUUAUGAAUAAAAAAAAGAAUUAUUUAAUUUAAAUGAAGAUUUUUUUUCUCUGACGGCCACGGGCUCCACCUUCUUCUUGGGCAGGGAAAAAUGAAAAGA